ensembl:lncRNA
CUAGGCACUGAUUCUCUCUCUCUCUCUGCACAGAAACACUUUCCUGGGAAGUUACAGACCUCCAGUCAGGUCCGGUUUUCCACAGCACUGCACCAGGAACACAGGAACAGGCCCCAGCCAUUGCACCAGGGAAGCAAUUCGUAAGUAGGACAGCAUGGACAACAUGACACUCAUCGCUGUGGGGGUUGUUCCCCUUCCUUUCCCCUCUUGUUGGACGCAGUCAGUACCUUAACCAGAAAACCCCCUUCUUCUCUGUGGCUAUAACAGGUCCUUCGUGAAGCAUAUCCCCCCAGCAGAGACCACAGAGGAGCAAUAUGAGUCCAUGCUGGGUGCUUCAAUGCAUCGGAGACCUUCUCCACAGCGAAGGGCCCGGGGUGGCUCACAGCACACUGGGAGGCAGCCUCUGCCGGGACCAAGUUACAGGGCUUCAGAGGUGAGUGCUGCACAGACAACGGUCCUGGCGGAAGGAUCCAUGCUAGAUCACAGAGACCCACGCUGCCAUCCGGUGCUAGCACACGAUCCCGGCAUGGAGCUCAGCAGCGCUCUCAUGGUUCCAGAGUAUCACAACCAGCCCCAGGCUAAUAGCAAUUUGAACAACACUUACCUGCACCCGGAUCCUUUCUACUACAACUGCCUGCAGAAUGGGAGAAUCCAUCAAUCAUUGAAAAAUUUCACAGGCCCUCACGACUAUGAAACCCUACAACUGAGAACGAGGACCCUGGAGCGAGCUGCUGCCAACCCAGCUGGAUGUCUCCCCGGCAAGAGACUGGAGCCCUUGCCACAGCAAAGGAGACGCAGGUUCGAGUCCAUAAUGUGCACGCUCAUGUGAUGGUAAAUUACAGAGGCUCGGCUUUGAUCUGCUCUGAGUAAACCAGGGAUGCUUAGACAUUGUGUCAUAGCAGAGUGCAGGGCACAUUUACCUUUCUCUGUCUACAAAGCCCUCCACAGACUUCCCCCCAACUUCUUCAAGGCACCGUCCUCCUCUCUGUCCCUCCACCACUGAUGCAAGGGCCUCCUCCUCUGCAUCCCUCACCCUCUGGAGCAACCUUCCAUCUUGCCGAAUCCUCAGCUCAUUUCGACCGACACGCGAGACAGGAUGUCUUUCCACAAGUUGUUGGGCUCAGCAUAGAGGUGGCUGAGCACAAUCCUCCAGCCAUGUAUUAGCCAGACUAGAGGACCACAGUGGUCCUUCCUGACAUUAGAAAUCCACAAUGCAAGUUUAGGAGAAACUCUCUGGGGCAGGGACUGUUGUUUUGUACAGCUCCUCACACCAUGUGGUCAGGAUCCAUGAGUGGGGCUCCUGGGUGCUAUGGCUUACAAAUAAUAGAUUGCAAAUAUAGCUUUCCUCCCUCCUUUCUUGCCUUUUUCCUCUCCCUCUCUACUGCUGUUUGACUCUGCGCACUGUACAAAUAGCUGGCAAUCAGUCGUCACCGUACGUUGCUUUGCAAUAGUUUGGCUGUAAGCUGCUCUUCAAUGGGGUGCUGUAUUUUACUAUAUAUAAUGGGUCCGCUUCAGAGGCACCUUGGCUAGGUUCCACUUAUUGUUCAGGUGUUACUCUGUUGUAAAUAGCAAUGAUCUCUCCUGUCCAGAACCUCUGCUGCAUGUAAGAUACACCAGGAUGCUCUUGGUCAAUGGAUAUAAGGGAGCUCCGGUUAGUGUGAGAUGGUCUGAUUUACACCACUUCUGAGUUUGACCCUUGGUCACUGGACAAGGGCUGCUGAUUUCAUGACCCCCUCAUCCCAUUUCCUGGGUCACAGUAGGGCCAGUGCAGACUUCCACUGGCUUAAGAUCAGGCCCUGAAAUCAUGAGCCUUCAGCACUUGAGCUAAAAGAGUAACUCCCUUAGCUGGCAGCUGUAGUAGACUCUUAACUACUUCUCUGAGUCAGCUACUGCAAGGAGACAGACCCCCACACUCAUAAGAACAUAACACACUCCUCUACUGUGGGUACACCACUCUUAGGCCAUGCACUGGGAUCCCCAGAUGGGACUGUGAAGCCUUCCUUCUGAGCUAAGGCACCACUAGCACUAGAUAAAGGGGACUAGGGUAAAGGAUCAAAGCGUGGAACAGAUGCCCAUGAGGAAGGAGUGGGCUGAGGUGAUAUCUCAUUCUUGGAUACUCAGUGGAAACUGUUACCAAUAGAGUAACCAAAUCCUGCAGUCCUUACUCAGGAAAAACCUCAGUGGGGAAACUCGACUGAGUGAGGACCCCAGGUCCAAUAUAAACAAGUAGAGGUGCAGGAUCAGGGCCUUAGAUUGUGAGCUCUUUGGGGGAGGGGCUGUGUCUCACCGUGUGUAUGUACAGCUCCUAGCACAAUGUGCCUCUGAUCUCCGUUGGAGCCUUGAGCUAUGACCACAACAUGAAUAAUAAAGUUAGCAACAGUUCUUUUUUUCA